rnacentral:lncRNA from 1 species
AAUUUUAAGGGUUCUCCAUAGCUAGGGUUUGUUUCAAGCUUCCAAGCUCCAUAAGCAAGGAAAACUGAAAUUCGGGCUAAAAUGGGGAAAAUACCAAGUUGUGGACGAAAUGGUAAAAGUAGCCAUUUUCGCAUACGAGGUAAGUUCAUGUGUAAAUGUAGUAACAUAAUUGUUGUUUUAAGGAAUUUAAUGUUGUUUAUAUGAUAUGAUGCUUAUUAUUAUCAUGAAACGUUAUGUUUUGUGGUUAUUGUUGAAUAAUAUGUAAUUAUGUGAAUUACUUGAUGAGUAUGAACUAUCACCGAGUAUCGGUUCCGAUAUUCCGUGGAAGACGACAAAGAUGUGAGAUUGAGUAAAAAAGCCCGUUUGAACCUUAGGAAUAGAUUAGGAUACAAGUGACAUGUCACUAGGAUAUUUGGGCAUCCGAACUCGUUGAGUUGAGUCCGAGUUCACUUAUGGAUGCGAAUGUCUGAACUCGUUGAGUUGAGUCCGAGUUCGAGAGAUGUAACUAGGCAUCCGAACUCGUUGAGUUGAGUCCGAGUUCACUUAUGGAUGCGAACGCCCGAGCUCGUUGAGUUGAGUCCGAGUUCACUUAUGGGCGGGUUACAUGGUAGCUUGGCUACAUAUGUGGCACUUAUGUGCAAACUUUCCAUGUAUCCGAAUGAUAUUCCGAUGUGUUCAAUGGGUAAAGUUCUACUGAAAUGGAGGAAUACUCAAGAUGAAAGGGACGUAUUGGUAAGUUUUGUGAAAUGGAUACUUUGAACAGGUAUGUACUUAACCCUCGGGUUGAAAAAUCGAUAUAACAACAAUAUGGUAAGAUGAUAAAUGAAAAUGUGAUAUGAAUGUCUUGGUGAUGAUUAUGCAAAUGAUGUUUUAUGUUGGCUUAUAUGGUUAUGUUACUUGCUAUUUGCAUGUGAACUUAUUAAGCAUUUAUGCUUACUCCCUCCUUUUCAUUCCUUAUAGUUUUGACAAGCCAGCUCGGAAAUCGGGAACGGUCGGAGGCUCGCUCACACUAUCCGUAUACCAUCUUGGCAUAAUGGCUUGUAUAUUUUGAGUAUGGCAUGUAUAGCAUUAUAAUCAUUUUGUAUAUAUGGUCUGAUGAUAUGGUUAUUGAGUGGUAU